AUACUGUGGGGGAGUUUCCAUGUGGCCCCAGGUGUGCUGAGGUGGAAGAAUGAAAGCUGCCCUUGAGAGCUCAAGAGAGAGAGGAAGGGAAACAGCUGUGAGCAUCUCUGGGAGGAAGAGACGGUAAAAUGCACACACAGGUGUUCUCAGACAACCUCUGGAGGUAUCCAGCACACGGGGAAUCUCUCCAGUGACCCCAUAGCACAUCCCUGGAGCUUCAGCUCAAGAGGAGGACAUUGCUGUCCUAAUCACAUGUGAUAUUGACAACAAAUAUUUCUGGCCGAACUUCAAAGGGCUGGGAGAUAAUUGUAUCCACCAUCCGCGACCUGGCUGUGAUGCCUCAGCGUGCAGCUCGCAGGUUGUAAAGAGCGCUGGGCAGGAAGGUAGGGAGCUUGGUCUCCUUCCAUCCCAGCUGUGCUCUUCAUUAUUGGGAUCAGUUGAGGAAACUGAGCACAGAGAGUUAAUGAACGUGCCCAAGAUUACGGGUUGAAGUGAAGAGGAUUCGUGCCCACAUCUGUUUAACUAUGCUCCUCACCACCCAAGUCUAAAGAGUGGAAAUCUCACCAAAUUUGGGGGUAAUCUGGUAGGACUGUUAAGAAGCAAAUGCGGCAAUUUUCUUGCUAAGGCUGCUUUGGGAAGUCUCAUAUUUCAGAUUACCAAUUUUUGAAGAAUUGGCUUACUGUAAAAACAAUGCACAUGCAUUUCACAAGAGCAUAAGUAAAUCUUUAUGGUGAUUCAGAGAAACCUUAGAAACAGAAAAUGUCAGGGUUUUCUGGGUUGGCAUCAUUAUCAUCGUACAAGACUAUAGGGGUGGGAGAUAAGAUCUGGUUAUUUUAGAUUCCUAGAUAUUUAGAUUCUGGCUGAAUGUCAUUUAUUUUGUAAUUAACAUCAUGUGUCACAUCUCAACAAUAAAUGCAAGGUAGUGUCUAGUAGGGAAGUCUGAUUAGUAAGUCUUGCAUUAGUGUCUUGUUAAUAGUCCAUAUAUGAAGGACUAACUCUUGUUAACUGAAGAUAGCCUUUUUAGUUGAUUAUGGACAUGAUUAUUUGAAAAUGCUGAUGGACUUCCCACACUCAACUGCUUUUAAAUUCACAAGUUCUUUUCUUCUGGAAACGUGUUUGAUGUAUUACAAUGUCAUGUUCUGAUUGGCAUGAUGUACCUGAAGCGGGGAGCUGCCUUCCCUUUCUGGGAGCUUUCUCUCCUCCUCCCCUUUCCAGUGAUAGUUUAACAGGUCCUGAGGCUGCUGCGUGCCACAAGACAGGAGGGCCACUUCCAGCAUCACUGAGAUCUAGAAGGAAAGUUCAGUCUUCAUGUUUAGUUAAAAUCUAGUCCAAUUCCUCUUGCUCAUUUUGGUAUUUGGAAGAGCAUCCCUAUUUUUGCCUUCCUUUCCAAUAAGCUGUAACUCCUCCAGAUCUUCUCAGGAGAAUAAAUCACUCACU
rnacentral:lncRNA from 1 species